ACAUGAAAUAAGCAAAUGUAUAGAAAUCAAAAGAUUAUUAGUGACUAAUGGGCCACAUCUACAAGUCUGGACUAAAUGAUUUCAACAAAUCAAUAGCAGAAAUGGAGAAAGCUAACACAACUCCUGCUUCUCAGCCAUGACAUUCUUCACAGACCAACCCGGGAUACACUGGUAUGAUUUUUAUCUCCCACCUUUGUUCCCACAUGAGAAUUUUAAACACAGCAAAAGAAAAGCACUCAAACUAAGUAGGAAAGAAACGUGAUAUGAAUUUUAAAAAAUCAAGUCAUCACUGAUUUGCUGUUAUUUUCAUUAUCUUUGAUAUAGAAACUAGGUUCUGUGUAGCUGUGGCUGCUCUAAAAAAAAAGUAAGCCUUGCGUGAAAAUAAAUGUGAACCCCAAACUGAGAUCACUAUUCAGGUCCAUAUCUAGAAAAUUAAAGUUGAAGCUAUUAAAGCAAACUGUAUAUAGUAUUUAUCUUUUGUGUUAGAAAGGUCAGAAAAUAUUUGUUCACAUUUGCUUACAUAUGCGUAAACCAACAGCGGAGGGAUAAACAAGAAACUAAAAAUGGCUACCUUUAGAGGCAAGCAGGAAUGUGAGCUAGGAGAAGACACUGGAAGCACAAGUUCAGAGUUAUAUAAUUUUUUACUUCAAAAUAAAAUUCAUUUCAUGUAGAAAUAAAUUACCUAUUCAAAAGUAAAAUAAAAAGGUAUAUAACAUUUUACUAAAGUAGCAAUUUUCAAAGAAUUUUCUUAAAGCUUCCUCUUAUCAUAUCUUCUGAAAAACUGAAGUCCCUGGAAAAAGAGGGAAACUGAUUUUGCACUACCCGUUUUAAAAACUUUAGGGGGAAAUUUCCUCUGACCAGAGAUAAACCAGAGUGAAUUAAGACAGACUUUCUAAAUGUCUAACCCACUGUAUUUCAUCCUUAAAACAUUAUUAUAGAAACUGAAAAGCUGUUCUCCUUAACAGAAAUUCUUUAAAAGUUUCACAUAAUUUCAUGCAGUUAAGCUUCAACUACCUUUAAUAUGGCUUUAUUAAAUCAAUUAACUUACUCAAAUCAAUGCUUCUCCAGCCAAAGAAAACAACUUUAAUUAUGGGAAACACUAUCAAGUUUGACUAGUAAGUUCAAACCCUAUAGGAUACUAAUUUCAGCUCUAUGCUCUACGGAAGUUACCCAAGUUCCUGUAAGCAUAGACAAACAUAUGGAGGAACAUGAGAGAUCAUGACAGUCAGAAUGAUUAAUAUACCAGAAAUUUACAGAAGCAGUUGGUAUGGGCAAACAGAAUGGGUUUUGUAGUUAGACUUAAGUUUGAACCUGGCUCUACCUUCCGUUGAUCUUGGGCAAACGAUUUAACUUCUCUGAGCUUCAGUUUCUUUAAGGAUAAAAUGAACCUCACGCUAACGUGAAGAAUCAUCAAAAGAAUUCAACGAAAUGACUAUACUGCCAAGCACUGAGUGAGAACUCAUGCCAUACAGACUGAAACAACUAAAAAUAUUACAACCACUCUGACAGGGAUCACAGCAGAAGGUCCCGGACACAGCAGGAGAAAAAUGCAGAACAAAAUUCAAAUUUACACAAAGACCAAACUUACUGGUCUGAUGAAACUAGAGGAACCCCUGAGACUAUGCCCCUGGACACCCUGCUAACUCAGAACCGAAGCCACUCCCGAAGUCCACCUUUCAGCCAAAGAUUAGAUAGGCGUAUAAAACAAACAAUAACAUAUGUGAGGAACAUGCUUCUUAGUUUGAUGAGUAUGGGACCAAAUGGACAACCAAAAUAAAAAAAACAAAACCUGUUGCCGUAGAGUCAAUUCUGACUCAUAGCAACCCUAUAGGACAGAGCAGAACUGCCCCAUAAAGUUUCCAAGGAGCGCCUAAUGAAUUCUAACUGCUGACCCCUCAGUUAGCAGAUGAAGCUCUUAACAACUAUGCCACCAGGGUUUCCAAAUGGACAACACCUGCCCAAAAGCAAAGAUGCUAAGGAGGAAGGGACAAGAAAACUGGAUGAAUGGACAUGGGAACCUGGGGUGGAAAUGAGGAGGGUGCUGACACAUUGCAGGGAUUGUAACCAAUGUCACAAAACAAUCCGUGCGUACAUUUUUGAAUGAGAAACUAAUCUGUGCUGUAAACUUUCACCUAAAGCAUAAUCACACUUAAAAAAAAUUUUUUUUUCACACUAGCUAGAUAGUAGAUAAGUGGUAACUUAUGGUAAAGGGUAAGUCAGUACACAAUACUAGGGAAGUCAGCACAACUUGACCAAGGCAAAGUCAUAGAAGCUUCAAAGACAUCCAGAUGCCCUGAGGGGCCAGGUUACUUGGCUGAGGGCUGGGGACCAUGGUCUCGGGGGACAUCUAGCUCAAUUGGCAUAACAUAGUUUAUAUUGAAAAUGUUCUACAUCCAACUGUGAUGAGUAGCGUCUGGGGUUUUAAAAGUCUGCGAGUGGCCAUCUGGUCCCAUCCUGGCUAGAGCAAAGGAGAAUGAAGAAAACCAAAGACACAAGAUUAGUCCAAAGGGACUAAUGGACCACAACUACCACAACCUCCACUAGACUGAGCCCAGAAUAACUAGAUGGUGCCCAGCUAUCUCCACUAACUGCUCUGACAAAGAUCAUAAUAGAGGGUCCGGAUACAGCAGGAAAAAAAUGUAUACCAAAAUUCAAAUUCAUACACAGAGACCGGAUUUGCUGGUCUGAAACAGACUGGAGAAACCCUGAGAGUAUGGUUCCUGGACACCCCUUUAACUCAGUACUGAAGUCACUCCUGAGGUUCACCCUUCAGCCGAAGAUUAGACAGUUCCAUAGGGCAAUCAAUAACACAGGGGAGGAAUGUGCUUCAUAGUUGGAUCAUGUGUAUGAAGCUAAAUGGGCACAUGAGCCCAAAAGCAAAGCCAAGAAGGCAGUAAGGAUCAGGGAAACUGGACAAAUGGAAACAGGGAACCCAGGUGGAAAAGGAAGGAGUGUUGACACAUAGUGGAGUUAGCAACCAAUGUCACAAAAAAACCUGUGUAUUAAUUGUUCAAUGAGAAACUAAUUUGCUCUGUAAACUUUCACCUAAAGAACAAUUUUUAAAAAUUUCAUAUUACUAUGUUUGAUAAUUACAACAUCUAAAAUCUUAAAAAAAAAAUUUUUUUUUCUUCAAUUCAUUCAUAAUGACACACAUUAUAGCAAGGACACUUGAUAAAAAACAAAAUUCCUUGGAUUUGGUCCUGUCCAUAUAUUUUAAGACCCGGGCACUAUGUUAAAAUGGAGUGGAUGUUGGAGAAAGGAACUAAAAAGAGGUUUUCCCUCUGACUGUUUUUAUAUAAUGUACCUUUUGUUUCUUCACAGUAUAGAGAGAUUGUACUCCUGAUUUUCCAAAAAAAAAAAACCAUUACCAUUGAGUCAGUUCCAACUCACAGAGACUCUAUAGGACAGAGUAGCUUUUUUAUAAAUGAUUGU